CGGGGGAGGCAGGAUCCUGGGCUGUGUCCCGGCGCCCUGUGCUCCGGGGCCUGCGCUGGUGGAUUCGCGCUCCCGGGCCGCCGCCCCGCAGCCCCCU
rfam:Canis lupus familiaris chromosome 11, whole genome shotgun sequence.